UGGGCAUUUGGAUAGUUUUCAGUUUUGAUGUGAGAGUGACUUGAAUUUACUGGUGAGUUGAAUGGUCUAAUCUGAGGUAUCCAUUUUCUCUGAGGAGGGAGAAAAAGACUAGAGCCAUACAGGGUAAUUUCCCAGGUAGGAAGUGAGAACCAUCUGCGGUUGAGGAUUGCACCGUGAUUCCAGCCGGGCUGCUGUGCCAAGACCUCUGAGCUCGAUCCAGGCGGAGCGUAGAAGCUGCAAGGACAGGGAGGUGUUUUGCCAGGCUUGGUGUCUGCCAGGGAAGACAGAAGUGCAGGGCACUGAGGAUGCUAACAGCAGGCAAGAGAUAGAAGGCUGGCUGUGGAUGCAGGCUGGGAAGAGGAUGUGCAGAGAAGGUAGGGAAGAAAGGUGGGAGGGAGCUGGAAGAGAAAGCAAGCAGAGGCGGACCACGAGGUAGGUGCCCAGUGGUGUCUAUGAAUCUUCAGGCUGUAUCUCCAGUGAUUGGCACGUGCUUGUCAUUAAGUGGGUAGUUGAAUAAAUGAGUUGUGGGACUGGGGGACCAGGGGUCUCAGGUAACAAACAGAUGCAGUAGUGAUGAUGGAGAGAUUACGGACAGUGAGGCUGUCUGUGGUUUAGGAAAAGGGCAUUCCAGAGUAGAUGAUUAGGCUAGGGUUUUGGGUAGGGGAGCUGAAAGAUGCAUAAAGGGUUAGCUAGGCAGUCCAUAGGAACACAUAGUUCAUGCUGGAUGUUCAAGUAAGAGAUGUUGGGAUCCAGAAAGCCAGUACAAGGGAAUUCAGGCUAUGGGUGGAAGAAAACAGUCCUAUCUUCCGCUAUAAGGGAAAACCCUGGCUGGGUAAUAGGACCUGAUCCUUUUCCCUUGGUCCAAGGGAAAGGAGAGACACAGGUGCAAGUGGGCUUUAGGGAUAGCCCCACUUCCACCGCUUCGUUUCCUCUCUCUUCUCAGCUUCUUCAGAGUCCUUAUUAUCCAGUGUCAUCCAUUGGCACAACUCCUGUACCCCAACCUCCUUCUUACUCACUUCACACAUAUAGAACCCAGUCUUUCUUUGUGAAUCUUUUCUCAGCAGGCUCAUUUGGACAUAUUUCAUUUCAUGUGUAUUGGUGUUUUUUGCCUGUUUAUGUCUGUGUGUGGGUGUCAAAUCCCCUGGAACUGGAGUUACAGAAAGUUGUGAGCUGCCAUGUGGGUGCUAGGAAUUGAACCUGGAACCUCUGGAAGAGAAGCUAACACUCUUAACCUCUGGGCCAUCUCUCCAAACCCUUGAACAACUAUUACAGCCUCCUAUAGUCUCUUUAUUCUGUCCUUUUAUAUUCAUUCUAGUAUUCAACUCCUUUCACAAGCGUUCCUAGCCACAAACCCUGUGUCAGCCCACUGCCGAGGGAAGCCCCUAGUAACCUCUUACAGAAGCUAAGCAGACUGAGGUUCGGUGUCCCCUUAGUCCAGGAGACCAGUCCCGCCCCAUCCCGGCGGGCUGAGUCAGGAGGCAGGAACUGGGCGGGCAGGAGGCGCCGAGAGCAGCCAGAAACCGGGGCCAGAGCCGCUGGCAGUGAGCUUGGAGCCCAACGGGGCUGGUACCAAAAACCCCGGGCCAGCGGGACACAGUGGGUGAGCGUGAGUCGGGGGCCGUCCGGAACUUACUAUGAACUCCAAAAAGAGAGGUAGGACUUGGCUUGGAGCUGCGAAGUCUCCAGAGAUGGCCACAAGGGAUGCAGACGGGAUUCUGGGGGCUUAGACUGCGAAGUCUCCAGAGAUGGCCACAAGGGAUGCAGACGGGAUUCUGGGGGCUUAGAGUGCGUGUUUCGUUGGGAAUAGGUUGGGUUGGGGGUUCGGCCGUGAACUCCUUCCCUCCAAGGGCAGGAGAACCAUGGGUCCAUGACUCGGUUUCCAAGUCACGUUUAUAGAAAAGUGGAGGUGGCGGGGCACUUCUCAUUCGGCACCCCCAAUCCCGGGAAUCCCCGGGCUCCCAGCCUGGAGGAUUCUGGCUUCUAGGCGCCCGCGAGUCGGCCUGAGUUGGGGGCAGUGUUUACACUGAGUGGUGGGUUAGGUGAGCCAAACCUGCACUGGCCUGGACUGUCAGCUCUACUGUGAUCCUAAUGCGUG
rnacentral:lncRNA from 1 species